rnacentral:rRNA from 1 species
GGAAUUUUUGACAAUGGGGGAAACCCUGAUCAAGCAACGCCGCGUGGAUGAUGAAGUAUCUCGGUACGUAAAAUCCUUUCGACAGGGAAGAAAGCCAGUCUUCGGAUUGGCCUGACGGUACCUGUAGAAGAAGCCCCGGCUAACGCCGUUCCAGCAGCCGCGGUAAUACGGGGGGGGCAAGCGUUGUUCGGAUUUACUGGGCGUAAAGGGCGCGUAGGCGGUUUGUUAAGUCGGAUGUGAAAACUCUGGGCUCAACCCAGAGCCUGCAUCCGAUACUGGCAAGCUAGAGUGCGAGAGGGGAAAGCGGAAUUCCUGGUGUAGCGGUGAAAUGCGUAGAUAUCAGGAGGAACACCGGCGGCGAAGGCGGCUUUCUGGAUCGCAACUGACGCUGAGGCGCGAAAGCUAGGGGAGCA